rnacentral:rRNA from 1 species
UACAGAGGGUGCAAGCGUUGUUCGGAAUUACUGGGCGUAAAGAGCGUGUAGGCGGUUUUGUAAGUCAGAGGUGAAAUCCCCCAGCUUAACUGGGGAACUGCCUCUGAUACUGCAUAACUUGAGUAUCGGAGGGGAUGGUAGAAUUCCCGGUGUAGAGGUGAAAUUCGUAGAUAUCGGGAGGAAUACCCGUGGCGAAGGCGGCCAUCUGGAAGAUAACUGACGCUGAGACGCGAAAGCGUGGGUAGCAAACAGG